GUUGUUUCUCCUUAUCACUGAAAGAGAGUGAAACUCUCCAUGCCAAUAUUCCUCAAGCUUCCUGGGAAAUUUGAGGCAUACACUACACCACUUAUUAGGUCUGCUACACCUCAGCUCUUGUUAGCCAAGUGUAGGAGAAGACGGGACCUGGAGAGUAUCACUUCCUCUCAAAGAGCCAAUGCUAGAGACUUUCAUUCCUCAAGCGGAACGUGUUCACUGUGCCAGGAGCUGGCGCGGGCACCACAACCCCUGGAGCCCGGCCUUCAGAUCCAGGAGCCCCGUCACACAGGCACGGUCUGGCUGACGCCUCUCUUCUAUUCCCCCAAAGGUCGUCAUCUAGCACCAACCUGUUGCCUCCCUUCAGAGAACCUACAGGUGGUGGCUUCUGAGGAAAAAAAAGUGUUGUUGUUGUUGUUUUUUAAGUUAUUUUUCUCUCACGUUGUCUUGCUCUUCUAAGUUAUAACCAAAUUCUCUCAGAAAAGAAUGGCAGCCAAACAACAAGCAUGCGCUUCCUCGUGUCGUACUUCCUCUCAUGCGGGUACGGCACACGUUUAGAAGGUACUAGAGACCUCCUGGAGAAGGCAAUGGCACCCCACUCCAGUACUCCUGCCUGGAGAAUCCCAUGGACGGAGGAGCCUGGUAGGCUGCAGUCCAUGCUAAGGGUCGGACACGACUGAGCGACUUCACUUUUUUUCAGUUUUCACUUUCAUGCAUUGGAGAAGGAAAUGGCAACCCACUCCAGUGGUCUUGCCUGGAGAAUCCCAGGGACAGGGGAGCCUGGUGGGCUGCCGUCUAUCGGGUCGCACAGAGUCGGACAUGACUGAAGUGAAUAGCAGCAGCAGCAGAGACCUGCUGUCGCAGGCACAUACGCAGCGGCCGCGGGCAGGCACGCAGGCGCAUAGGCAGCGGGCACGCAUGCACAUGCGCAUUCAAAACAAAUCCGUAGCUACUGGUUUUGCGAAGCCUGGGGUGU
ensembl:lncRNA